UUUGGUACCAGGGAUGGAACUCAUGACCUUGUGCUUGUCAGGCAGGUGCUUAAGCCACUGAGCUAAAUCCCCAGCCUUACAAAGGGAUUUUAAAAACACCUCAGAACACGAUGUGCUUUAUCCUAAAUAUAAUAGACAUUUUCUAGGAAAGUUUAGUGGAGUAAGUUUGCUUUAUCUGUUUAAUCCCUUCUGUUAUUUCAAAAGGGAAGGCAGGAGCUUAAGAUCAUAAAACACCAUCAAAGCAGAGCUUUACUAUGCUAUUAGAUAAUGUUAUUAAACUUUAAAAGUUCCUUUGAAAGAACCAUUACGGACUUCCUGGUGAAUCUCUGAUCUCUGAUUACAUGUCACAUGGGAUAAGCAGAUAUAUUGCAAAUGAACUAAAAGCAACAGAGUCUGGAAGGUGAAUAAAAGCCAAAUACCCUUGUUUCGCUAAACCAGCAGGUUGAAGACCUAGAUCUUUCAUCCUUGGAAAGAAUACUGAACUUCUUUUUUCAUGUUUUAAAACAUUUUUAUCCAGGUAUAAAGCUUAUAUACAGCUUGCCAAUUUAAAUGUAUAACUUGAUGAAUUUAGUAGCCAGAGUUGUGCAGCCAUCAACACAGUCAGUUUUAGAACAUUUUUAUCAUUCAGAAGGGAACCCGACUGGUCAUUCCUCAGGUUGUCUUGCCUGCCUUAGCCCUGGCUCUAGGCAACAUCUGAUCUUUCUGUCUCUAUAGGGUUACCUAUUCUGAACACUUACUAUAAAGAGAACCAUACAGUUUUUUUGUGAUUGGCUUUUAUCAUUGAUCAUAAUAUGCUUAAGGUUUGUCAGUGUUUUAGCAUUUAUCAGUACUUCUUUCUUUUUAUGGCCAAAUUACUCUUUAUUUGAAUAUACCAAUUUUUUGUUUACUCAUUUAUUUAUGGGUAGAUACUUGGUUUGUUCCCACUUUUUGACUCUUUUUUUUUAAAUUUUAUUUAAAAGGAAAAAGAGAAAAAACAAAACAAAACAAAGUGGUAUAAGGGUACAAGUAAUACAGAACUACAAAAAAAAAAAACAGUAAGAAAUCACCAGUUAAUAUAUUACACAUUAUCAUAUUAGAGAUAGUUGCUCAAGACACAGAAUCAAAGCAUACAAAGUGAACAUUCAAACAGAGAGACUGCAAAAAGUUGUAUUCAAUGAUCCAACCAAAAACAUUAAUAUGGUCAGCUAUUUAACACCCCUAAACACACUUGCAGUUGUAUCCUUUAGAGCACUUUUUUUCCCUCUCUUUUUUUACAGCAACAUUUACACAUUUUGGGUUUCAUUACUCCUUAGUUCUUACUACUGUUUUUUUUUGGAAGAGAAUAAAGUCAAAUAUGGCAAAACAAAGCUGUCCACUCUUUGACUCUUAUGAAUAAUAGUUAUGAACAGUUGUAUAAUAAAUUUUUGUGUGAACAUAUUUUCAUUUCUCUUGAAUAUACAGAAUCACUGGGUCAUACAGCAGCUGCGUGUAAACUGUUUGAGGAGAUGCCAAAGUGUUUUCCAAAUUGCGGCACAAAUUUGCAGCACAAAUUUCCACAAGCAAUGUAUGAGCAUUCCAGUUUCUCCACAUUUGCCCCCAAAUUUGUUUUUGUUUUAUUAGUGCCAUCUUGUAGGUAUGAAGUGGUAUCUCAUUGUAGUUAUUAAUUUGUAUUUCUCUAAUGACUAAUGAUUAGCAUUGAGCAUCUCUUUCACUCAAUCUUUUGGAAGAGAAUAGUAUAUAGAAAGCUCAGUUUCAUGGAUAUUCAAAAAUGUAUUAUUUAAACCUAAGCAAAAUAGCCAGUUUUAUAUCCAUUACAUUUAAUUCAAUUUAUAUGAAUGCUACUUGAUGUUUUGAACCAAGUUUUAUGAUGAUGUUUAAUAAUUUGUGAUGAUAUUUGGACCUGCAUUUUUUUUCCAUUGAGAAUUAUCUGACUAAUACCAGGAUAAAUUUCAAAUAUAGAGCACCAUUUCAGAUAUCAUGAAGCAGUUGUAUGCAGUAUAAGUUAAGACAUUUACUGUUUCUGAUUGCAGAAAAGAAGCAAAACAAACUUUUUAAAUUGGAAUAAAUAUCAGGGUAGAUAACAUUUACUGACCUGGAAUAAACACAGUAAUUUAUAAAAAUGGCCCACAUUGUUGAUGUGAAUAUAUAAAACAUAAAUAUUCAUUCAAGUUCUAGACUUUAACAUUACAGCAUUCUAUGAAAGAUCUUAUCUGAAACUUGAGUAAUGAAAUAAAUAAUUUAUUUGGGUUCCCUUUUGCCCUAAAUCCCAUAAUUACAUAAUUCCUGUUUAAGAUCAAAUUUUUUAAAGCAUGGUAUUUUAAACAACCCAACUACUCACAUGUUAUGAGCCAAGAAACUUAUCUUUUUGUUUCAAAAAAUAACUUUGAGACUUUGUUUAUAUGACAAUUCUGUACUUAUUCCAGAUUGUGUCCUUAUAAUUUAUUCACAUGUAUUAAAAUUUUAACAAGUUUCUGACAAAGAACAGGUGAGAUAAGUCAGGAGUCAUUAGAAGUUCAGCACAGUAUUUUGGUCAUUAUUUGGAAUUCCUAAGUGAGAGGAAACAGAUUGGUUUGGUUACAUUAUUCUUUCUGUGCCAAAUAAACAAUUGGGAAAACAUUAAAUAUCCUUUAGCUUUAUAUCUGCUUCUAGGCUAGAUAUGCUUAGUGGUCACAGUACUACUAGCAUUCUUAGAUGUUCGAUAUUUAAUGAUAGCAUUUGAAAAACAUUUUAAUAUAUAGCAUAAAAAUUAAUUUAUGGGAAUCUAUUGAAUGACUUAGUAUGACCAUUCAGGGAGCAUUUAUUGAAUGCUAAUUAUGUUAGGACACUGCUGGCCAGAGGACGGUGCUGAAGUUUAUGGGAAAUCCUCAGGGAUGGGUUACUAUAUGAAGUGCUGUUUAAAUCUGAGUACAGUUAGGAUAUUCAUAGGGGAGCUAAAACUAAGAAUAGCAUUAGCUCUGAAAAAAAAUCCCAAAGAUAGUUGUAAAUAAAGCCUUUCUAUUAAGCAAUAGAUAGGCAGUAUCAUACAUCUGAGAAAUAUUUAAGUGUUCACUAGCAUAGUUUAAGCAAUAAGGGAAACAGUUGGGAAACAACCAAAAAGAGAGACUUCAGCUUUUAAAGGACUAAUGGAAUGCAUAAAAGCAUGAAUAGGGAAUAACAUAUUACAGAGUCAGUGGGUUGGGAUGGACAGAGGUCAAAUCAAAGGGAGCAGUUGAAUGAUGAAAAAUAUAGCGCUAUAAAAGCUGAAAUACCUCAUUGCCCCCUUUUGCUAUUUAGUCAGGGUUUUUUUAAAGGCAAUAAUUUGAGAAGGACAUUGAAAGCCAUUUUAAUCUUUCCUAUUGCCUCAAAAAUGUCAAAAGGGCAGCCCCAUUUUCAAGUCUGUAACAAGGUUAAAGAUCAUUGUAAAAGAGAAUUUUUUAGCAAAAAAAGUUAACAGUUUCAGUUAAAUUGGAAGAUCAUGCCAAUUUUUCUGCUCUCAAGAUUCAUUAACAUGAUAAUAAAGUUUAAAAAAUAAGUUUGCAAGGACCAGACAAUAAAAUGGGGCACAUCAAUGGUUAAGAGAUCUAACCAAAGUUUGGAAGACACCUAAAGGAAAGUGGUCUGCAUAGAUGACUUGGUAGUUGAUGUGACAGAGAACCUGGAAUUAAAGCAUAUUUGUAUGUAUAAUUAUAUAUGUGAAAAACAAAAGAUACUAUUAACUCGAGACACUAAAAGCUAUACCAAAUACACAGCUUGGUUUUGCAAAGAAUAUUUACAUAUUCAUGAUCAUGCAAAUAGUAAUCAUUUAAUGAACCAGAAGUAGGGUUCUAAUGCUAUGAAGGACUAGGGAAAGAAGUGAAGGAAAGAGAGAAUGUUUAACUGAGUUCCCUGCUAAAAACUCUAGUGUGGCUUCCAGUUACAAUUAGAGUAAAAGUGAAAUGCUUCACUUUGGUUUUAAAUUUCCUGCAUUAUUGGCUCCCUAUCUGCCUCUGCUCUCCUACCCUUCCCUUUUUCUGUUUGUUUGUUUUUGUUUAUUUGGUACAACUCUUCCCUUCUUUUCUUUUCCUUUGUUUUGUUGGUUUGGUAGCAGGGUUCAAACUCAGGACCUCUCACUUAGCAAGCAUGCACUUGAAUCACUGAGCUAAAUCCUGGCCCCUAAGUUUCCCUUCUUUAAUCUCUCUUCAGUGACAGUGACAUUCUUUCCCUCCUAUAAACAAGUCAAGGUUCUUUACCUCCUUGAGGACUUCCUCCUUGAACUUUCUUCUAUGUAAAAUGUUUUUUAAGUGGAAAAUAAAUCAGUCCCCAGUGCCAUUGUCUUUCACAGUGAGAGAAUUUUAGCUCACCAGUGUGGCUGCCCACAAUAGAAACAACAUUUCAAGUUUCUCCUGAAGCUUGGUAUGUCCAAAAAGAUGUGAAAAGGGAAGUUACUGAGUUGCGCUCUGACAGAGAGAGUGUGUGCCCUGCUGCUCCUUCCACUUUGCCGUUUUCAGUAUAGAUGUGAGUGAGCCAUGUGGGCCAUGCAUGUGAGGGGCUGGAGUAGCAAGGAGAAGGGGGAGCCUGGACCUUGGGUGGCCUGCAUGCAGGAUACUGUAAAAGGCAAUAAUAAUAAUAAACUUCAUUUGCUUAAACUAUUAAUACAGUGUCUCUGUCACCUGUAUCCAAACCAUACCUUUUUACUGUUCCCCUAGAUGUUCAUAUUGCAGACAGCUUCUUACCAUUCAGGGCUCAAUUCUCACCCCAGACACUGCCUCAGGAAAGCGUGUCUUGACCACUCUACUAAGUCUUCCAGGUUUUUAUCUGUGCUAAAGUUUAGAUAGCCAGAAUGGCCAGUGGCAGUGGUAGAAGUUGUGCAUGAGCUCACCAACAUGGACUUCUACUGACCAAUACUGAGCUGCCUAGAGCAUUGCAGAAUGUCCAAUGUAUCAGCAGCAGAGACCAACACUUGAGUUCCCAAUAUGACACCAUUCUCCAGGGUGAUCAGCCUGUGAUGUGGUGUCAGGUUGAUUAUAUUGGAAUACUUCCAUCGUAGAAAUGGCAGCACUUCGACCUUACUGGCAUAGACAGUUAUUCUGGGUAUGGAUUUGCCUUUCCUUCACAUAACAGUCCUGUCACAUGAUGGAUUUAAGGAAUGCCUUAUCCAUUGUCACAUUUCCACACAGCAUUGCUCUGAGCAAGAAACCUAUUUCUUUUUUUUUUUUUUUUUUUUUUUGUCUUUUUCAUUUUUACCGGUACCAGGGAUCGAACUCACGACCGCCUGCUUGCAAGGCAGGUGCUUAUGCCGCUGAGCUAAAUCCCCAGCCCCAAGAAACCUAUUUCAUGGCCAAACAAAGGAGACAGUAGGUUCAUGCUCAUGAAAUUCACUGGUCCAACUAUGUUCCACAUUAUCUGGAAGCAGCUGAUUUGAUGGAAAGGGGAAGUUGUAAUGUUACUCCAAAACGGAGGAAAGAAAACCUAUUUUGGAGUACAGAAGAUCUCUUACGGGUGUCUCCAUUUCCAUGCCCUCUUAUUAAGAUCAAUGGGAAAGUACAACAAAUCAAUCCAGGCAGUAUGACAAAUGGCCCAGUACCUUUAGGAAGGAAGAUAUGGGUCAUUCCACUAGGUCAAGAACAAGCCCUGCUGAAGUACUUGCUGAAAGUCAGAACAUAGAAUGGGUAGUAGGAGAAGGUACUUACAAACACCAACUACAACUGUAUGACCCAUUACAGAAACAAGAGUUAUGAUUUUUCUCUCCUGUAUUGUUAAUAUGCUUAUACAUAUAAACAUAUCAAUAUAUAUGUGUAUCUGUAUAUAUAUAUACAUAUAUACACACAUACAUUUAUAUAUUGUUUCUUAGUUUUUGUUGUUUUGUUUUGUUUUUGAGAGUCUCACUGUGUAAUUUGCGCUAUCCUUGAACUCCUGGCAAUCCUCUUGCCUCAACCUCGCACAGGUUGGGAUUAUAGGAAGGUGUCACCAUACCUGAUUGUUUUCUUUCUUUGUAACAUGAUGUUGAUAGACUUAAUAUUGGUUCCUAAACAUGAUUAGAUCUGCAUUAUAGUGUUUAAGUUAUGGAAUAUUAGGGGAAGAGUAAGCGUCACCUAAAGGAAAACUGCCUUCUGUACUGGGAAUUAAGGCAGUUUGGGCUUUAUACAGAAUACUAGUACCACGUUCAGUAUAAUUAUGAACUUGCUAUUGUGUUUGGAGACUAAAUAUGGGUUAAGGAAAUGUGCCUAAUUGUUGACAAGGAGUGGAUUAUGACAGUUAAUUGUGAUGUCAACUUGAAUGGAUUGUGAAACACUUGGUGGAUUAGCAGAGCUCACUUCUAGGUAUGUCUGUGGAUGGGUGACAUGUAGAACAAAAACUAAAGAGUGAAGGCCCACCCUGGAUGUGGGUGGCACCAACCAACAGGCUUGUAGCCUAAACAGCAUAAAAAGGGAAAGAACAAGGAAGUCUUCUCUUUUGCUUCUUUAAAGGAGCUUCGGUCAAUGCCACCACUGCCUUGGAACAUUUGUCUGUUCCUUCAGGCUUCCAAUGUAGAUUCCAGCCUCCCAACACAGACCUUCUGGCUUUCUCACAUAGGUGUGCACCAGACUCUGCAGUGAGCUCCAGGUUUUCAAGCAUUGACUGGAUCCCUUGACUUUCCAAUGAGCAUUCAACCAUUUUGUAUUCUUCCACUCCUGUUUCCACAGGUGGCCAUUGUAAGCUGGGAAAGCGAGAAGCCGAGAGUGUUUCAUGCUCUACCAGAUCUUGGACAUGAUCACAUUGUUUAAGCUGAUUGUUACAGUGGACCCAUUCUAUGUUAUUAAAAUAUGUCAGGGUUAUUCUCCUAGGAUAACACCUUGCUCUGCAACAAGUUCUUUAUCUGAGACAUGAAGAAUAUGAAAUCUAACUCCAGAAGGAAAGACAAGCAAUCCAGGACCCGGUAAUGUUUAAUUGGUGAGCCACAUUUCGAAGGAGCUACUGGAAAACAUUUUUCAUAGCCUGGAGAUUUGGGUGACAGCCUUGCAGUGUGCAGGAUUCAGUGGAGUGUUUACCCAGCACAGGACACAGGACAGAGAAGACACGUGUGCCUGAGAUACAGAAGACAUCUAUCAACUAGGGUAUGGAGGUUCUCUUGACCACAUGGCCCCAGUUGAGGUUUGGAUCUGGAAUGUCCCUCAAGACGCUCUUGCACUUAGAGGUGGAGUGUGGUUGGAUCAUGGAGCACUGUAUUCACCAAUGAAUUCAAAUUACUGGGUUUUACAGCUAAGAGUCUUCUUUGAGUCUCAGAAAAAGACUUUGGACUUGUAUUUUAUCAAUGCUGGAAUGGUUAACAUUUUGGUGACUCUGAUAAGAAAGCAUUUUGUAGAGUGAGCUGCAUGGAAGUCUUUUGGGAGCCAGGGACAGAAUGUUGUGAUUUGGAUCUGAAAUGUCUCCCAAAAAUGUCAUGUGCUCAGAGGCAGGACUUUUGAAGAGUGAUUGGAUCCUGGGGUGCAGUGCUUAUUGGCAGAUUCAUCAACUACUGAUUUCAGCGGCUGGAUGUGCUGUUAUGAGAUGGCAUCAUCUAGAAGAGGUGGGUACGUGACCUGGAAGAUUGCUCUCCCUUCCUGGCUCUUUCCUUUGUCCUCUGCUUCCUGAGCUAUUUCUUCCCUGGGCCCCUUUGACAUGGUAUUUCUGCCUUGUAGCCAACCAACUAUGGAAUGAAAAUGUGAGCCAAAAUAAACCUCU